GGAGAGACCGUGAUCAUGAAGGCGGUUCUCCCAGGACGAGGCUAUCCCAUUGCACUUCGGGUGUGCUGACGCCUGCGAUGUCCCCAAAUGCGGGAUACUCGACUGCAAAAUUUGUGGUAGUGGGGGACUGCGUUCGCGCUCUCCCCUGAUUUUCGAUGUAAAAACAGAAUUAGAAAUUUUCUUGCCCGGUGCUUCGUUAUGUUUUAUUAUAGACUUCCUUAGUUUGUGUCGGAACGGAGUUAACAAAAGUUGAGAGCGUUCGUAUUAGGACACAGCUAUCUCAAAUGUCAUUAGAACAGCCGGAGGAGGCGAUGAAGUCGCGCUCAUGCAGUGGUGGAGUCUGAUGUUGAGCGGCUUCAAACCUUCUCCGCCCUCUUCGACGACAGUGGGGAAUUGCGUGGCUGCAGAGCAGAGCGAUGAAAAGGAAGGUGGAUUAGACCUCCGCUGAGACUCGCUGGGCAGGAAUCAACAACGCUACGUACACAACUUUGGAAGAACCCAGCAGGCCCUACGUGCGUUUUGUGCGGAUGAACGAGAGCGAAAAUGAUCAAACUCAGAGGAGAUCAAGUUCUUAUUGACAGCAUUUUGCUGGCAGUUAAAAUGAAUACCUCCGUGCAUUCAGUCCAACACAUCGAUGAACAAAUGGAAAAGUGUGUCCAAACGCCGGACAGCUGGAGAGGCAAAAAUUAUGUGUUUGCAUUUCUUUAUGUUAUCAAAGUUCAAAGUAAGAUUUAUUGUCAGAGUACAUACAUCUGACCACGUACAACCCUGAAAUUCUCAUCCUGUGGGUAUACUCCGCAAAUCUAUAGAACAGUAACUGUAAACAUCCAGAACUAUAAACAGUAAACAAGCCGUGCAAAUAUAAAUAAAUAACAAACAUGAAAUAACAAUAUAACUGAGUCCUUAAAUGAGGGUAGCUGUCUCCUUUUGUUCAAGAGCCUAAUGGUUGGGGGGUAGUAACUGUUCGGGAACCUGGUGGUGGUGAGUCUGAGAACUGAGGCAUUUGUAUCUCCACCUGAUGGCAGCAGCAAGAGAAGAGCCUGGCCUGCGUGGUUUCUGGGUGUUUUCUCAAUCUUCAACUAAAAGAUGCACAUGUAAAGGAAUUGCAGACUCCUCUGGGAAUGAAGCUCUUGCUUUCAGACCAUUGAAUAAAGUGAGAUACUGUCUAGACGCGUUGCACUGCAGACAAUCAUAAAUACGUACGAGGCAUUGAUUGUAUAUUCUGAGGAUGAUAAGAUAUAUCACAAGAUAUAUUGUCACAGAAAUUUGAUAAACAGUGAAUAAAUAUAGCUUUAGUCGUCUUAAAUGAUGUCUCUAAAGAACAGGCUGCGCUGUUGAAGACUGCAAAGGAGUGUAUUAAUGCCAAUUGAUGAACUUCAUUUUGCACGAGGCAAAAUUAACGAGAUAAGAAGGAAGUAUCUGGGAGACAAUGUGUCUUGGAGUGAGAAAGUUACAUUUUUCUCAGCCAAAUUUGUGACAGGAGCUACAAAUUCUCUGGUGACCUUGAUAAACCACCUCUGUGUUUAUUGAGAAGAGAGGUUUCCUGAGGGUGAGGUACAAUGGGCGGCUUUUGAUUUUUCUGUACAUGCGGGAUGGGACCUCCAUUUUGGCAAAGACCAGGUCAGUGCCUUGUGUGGAAAAUACCCUGAUUUCCUUGCUGUCAUAGUGAAGCAGUACAACGACUUCAAAUUUACUGUACAGGAAAAGAUUAAAUCCUAACCGAUUACUAGCUCGUCUGAAAUGGUGACAUUUGCAACUCAAAAUGAAGAGUUUUGUGACCUUGCAAAGCUGACGGACAAUGGCAGAACCUUUCUUACAACUAGUGCUGCUCAUGAAAGAGGUUUUAGCCUCAUGAAUCAAAUCAAAAACAAGCUGAGGAACCGUUGAAGUGAGUGUCAUUUGGAUAUGCCAAUGGGAAUUCUCUGCUGGAAGAGGAUUUAUUAGUCUGGACAAAGAUGGGUAAAUGCCAAAGACAGCAGGGAGAAAAGUGACUAAGCAACUUGAAUAUGUUCAAUAUCUUGUUCACAUUUAUGUCUCUUUUGUAAUUCAGCUACCAAUUUGGUGCUGUACGCAAUGAUUUCCAAAUAAAACACUGAUCUGCAUACAUUGUCAA